rnacentral:rRNA from 1 species
UGGGGAAUAUUGGACAAUGGACCGAGAGUCUGAUCCAGCAAUUCUGUGUGCACGAUGAAGUUUUUCGGAAUGUAAAGUGCUUUCAGUUGGGAAGAAAGAAAUGACGGUACCAACAGAAGAAGUGACGGCUAAAUACGUGCCAGCAGCCGCGGUAAUACGUAUGUCACGAGCGUUAUCCGGAUUUAUUGGGCGUAAAGCGCGUCUAGGUGGUUAUGUAAGUCUGAUGUGAAAAUGCAGGGCUCAACUCUGUAUUGCGUUGGAAACUGAAUAACUAGAGUACUGGAGAGGUAAGCGGAACUACAAGUGUAGAGGUGAAAUUCGUAGAUAUUUGUAGGAAUGCCGAUGGGGAAGCCAGCUUACUGGACAGAUACUGACGCUAAAGCGCGAAAGCGUGGGUAGCAAACAGGAUUAGAUACCCUGGUAGUCCACGCUGUAAACGAUGAUUACUAGGUGUUGGGGGUCGAACCUCAGCGCCCAAGCAAACGCGAUAAGUAAUCCGCCUGGGGAGUACGUACGCAAGUAUG